rnacentral:rRNA from 1 species
UGGGGAAUUUUGGACAAUGGGCGAAAGCCUGAUCCAGCAAUGCCGCGUGUGUGAAGAAGGCCUUCGGGUUGUAAAGCACUUUUGUCCGGAAAGAAAUGGCUCUGGUUAAUACCUGGGGUCGAUGACGGUACCGGAAGAAUAAGGACCGGCUAACUACGUGCCAGCAGCCGCGGUAAUACGUAGGGUCCAAGCGUUAAUCGGAAUUACUGGGCGUAAGCGUGCGCAGGCGGUUGUGCAAGACCGAUGUGAAAUCCCCGAGCUUAACUUGGGAAUUGCAUUGGUGACUGCACGGCUAGAGUGUGUCAGAGGGGGGUAGAAUUCCACGUGUAGCAGUGAAAUGCGUAGAGAUGUGGAGGAAUACCGAUGGCGAAGGCAGCCCCCUGGGAUAACACUGACGCUCAUGCACAAAGCGUGGGGAGCAAACAGGAUUAGAUA